GGUGGCUCAGUGGUAGAGUGCUUGCCUUGCAAGCAGGAGGCCCUGGGUUCGAUUCCUUAGCACCA
rnacentral:tRNA from 1 species